AUUGAACGCUGGCGGCAGGCCUAACACAUGCAAGUCGAACGAGUGGCGGACGGGUGAGUAAUGUCUGGGAAACUGCCUGAUGGAGGGGGAUAACUACUGGAAACGGUAGCUAAUACCGCAUACCAUCGGAUGUGCCCAGAUGGGAUUAGCUAGUAGGUGGUGUAAAGGCUCACCUAGGCGACGAUCCCUAGCUGGUCUGAGAGGAUGACCAGCCACACUGGAACGGGGACACGGGCCAGACUCCAAGGGGGGGCAGCAGUGGGGAAUAUUGCACAAGGGGGGAAAGCCUGAGGCAGCAUUGCCGCGUGUAUGAAGAAGGCCUUCGGGUUGUAAAGUACUUUCAGCGGGGAGACGUUACCCGCAGAAGAAGCACCGGCUAACUCCGGGCCAGCAGCCGCGGUAAUU
rnacentral:rRNA from 1 species